UGGAGGAAAGUAGGGGAUCGUAAGACCUUGUGCUUUUGGAGCGGCCGAUGCCUGAUUAGCUAGUUGGUAAGGUAAAGGCUUACCAAGGCUUCGAUCAGUAGUUGGUCUGAGAGGACGACCAGCCACACUGGGACUGAGACACGGCCCAGACUCCUACGGGAGGCAGCAGUGGGGAAUUUUGGACAAUGGGGGAAACCCUGAUCCAGCCAUGCCGCGUGAGUGAAGAAGGCCUUCGGGUUGUAAAGCUCUUUCAGUCGGGAAGAAAAGGUUACGGUUAAUACCUGUAACUCAUGACGGUACCGACAGAAGAAGCACCGGCUAACUACGUGCCAGCAGCCGCGGUAAUACGUAGGGUGCGAGCGUUAAUCGGAAUUACUGGGCGUAAAGGGUGCGCAGGCGGUCUUGUAAGUCAGAUGUGAAAUCCCCGGGCUUAACCUGGGAACUGCGUUUGAAACUACAAAGCUAG
rnacentral:rRNA from 1 species